rnacentral:lncRNA from 1 species
AUUCUUACAGUUUCUAGCUGCUGUCUAUUUUAUCCUAGUAAACACGGUCUCCUUUGCACUUAUUGUGCAUGGAUUUAUGAAGUUACUCAGCUGGAACCUAUCCUCUGCUACCCCAAGCUCAUAAUGGUGUGGUUUUUCACAACCAUAGUCACAGGGAUUGUGGAAUACCCUCAGGAGAUUUUCCAUGUCUACUCUGGUGCCAUUACUGGAAGAUCCUUCCAUUUUCUACAAGGGAUUUUUACCUAUAUUGUUGAGAAGUGGAAUCCCCUUUGGUAGCUCUGUACCUUCAGCUUCUCCCUCUGUGGUAUCCAUUCCCUGCCACAACUAUAGAAUCUGCAAUCUGAUAUCUGAGAGUGACCAAAAGAAGAGAAUAAAUGUCCAGCCUCCUUGUCACAAGGCAGGACAACAUUAUGUUGUUCCUUAGGCUCCAGAGCUCCCAUGAAUCUUGCUGAGGGAAAAAAUGACAUAACCACUAAAAAGAAUGACUGCUAAAGAUCAGGACAAGACUUUGACCAGUGGAAGUCAGGAACAGCAAAUAAACAUUUUCCUCAUCUCUUCCCACCAUACUAACUGUCCUGAGAUGCAAAAGUCCAUAAGGUCUCUCCUAAGACUGUCCCACAAAAUGUAGCAAUUAGUUAUUCUUGCUGUCAAGCAGUGCUCAGCUCAUAUUAUACCUUAUAUUUUCUCUUCCUCAUUCUCUGUAUCACUCAUCUUUUCUGUCAUUUCUAGUUCCCUGUAUUUUAUUCCACAAUAUAUUAGUAGCAAAUAAACUUUUGUGCUU